CCUUAUUCCCAGGGACACCCUUUUUUUCUUUUUUACUUUAUCACAUUAUAACUGUUCUGAUCUCUUGUGGGAGAUACACACGCUACAAUCCUGACACAUAGUCUGAGCUGUAGAUCCACAAAUCCAGCAGCAGAAUAGGGUAGAUUAUACAGCCUAGUUAACAACACCGCUUCUGUCACACGAUAAAUUACCAGCAACCACUGACUCACAGGUGUCAACUAACAUAUAAGCUACCCAUGCUAUAUACUCUUAUUCUCGCAUAUUAAGGCUCAAUGUUCACAACUAUAAUCUAGCAUAUUGAUUUGGUUCUUAGUAUUACACUUCUUUUUUUUUGUUGUUUUUUUAUUAAUUAGGCCUACUCACAAACGAUUCACUGUGUAAUGAUACACGCUUCCAAUGUUAAUUUUGAAUUUUACAUAUAUGAUUUAUUAUGCUGCAUUGAACGCUCGUAUUAUGAUUUUCUUCUCAAGCUUAUAUAAUUUGGAUGGAAGGAGGGCCUGACACACUGUUGCAAACAUGGGAUUUCUUACACACCAAGCCCCACACCAUUCAAUACCGCUAUUUGUUAUGUCUAUAAUGUAUGCACUCAUAUAAUUCUCGUGUAUUUAAAUGAGUGUUAAUGCAGGUACCUGAAGUUACUACAGAGAGUUCAGAAUAUUUCACUUUUUUGGGUUUAUUUACGCACAACCAAAAUGAGGUUUCGUUAUUUUUAAGUUCGUUUAGCACAC